rnacentral:rRNA from 1 species
AGCUUGAGUCUCGUAGAGGGGGGUAGAAUUCCAGGUGUAGCGGUGAAAUGCGUAGAGAUCUGGAGGAAUACCGGUGGCGAAGGCGGCCCCCUGGACGAAGACUGACGCUCAGGUGCGAAAGCGUGGGGAGCAAACAGGAUUAGAUACCCUGGUAGUCCACGCCGUAAACGAUGUCGACUUGGAGGUUGUGCCCUUGAGGCGUGGCUUCCGGAGCUAACGCGUUAAGUCGACCGCCUGGGGAGUACGGCCGCAAGGUUAAAACUCAAAUGAAUUGACGGGGGCCCGCACAAGCGGUGGAGCAUGUGGUUUAAUUCGAUGCAACGCGAAGAACC